GACGAACGCUGGCGGCGUGCUUAACACAUGCAAGUCGAACGGAAAGGCCCUGCUUUUGUGGGGUGCUCGAGUGGCGAACGGGUGAGUAACACGUGAGUAACCUGCCCCUGACUUUGGGAUAACUUCAGGAAACUGGGGCUAAUACCGGAUAGGAGCUCCUGCUGCAUGGUGUGGGUUGGAAAGUUUCGGCGGUUGGGGAUGGACUCGCGGCUUAUCGGCUUGUUGGUGGGGUAGUGGCUUACCAAGGCUUUGACGGGUAGCCGGCCUGGGAGGGUGACCGGGGACAAUAGGACUGAGAUACGGACCAGACUCCAACGGGACGCAGAAGUGGGGAGUAUUGCACAAUGAGCGGAAGCCUGAUACAGCAACGCUGCGUGCGUGAUGCCGGGCUUCGGGUUGAAAACCGCUUUGGACUGUGACGAAGCGUGAGUGACGGUAAUGGGUAAAGAAGCACCGGCUAACUACGUG
rnacentral:rRNA from 1 species